rnacentral:rRNA from 1 species
GAUGAACGCUGGCGGCGUGCCUAACACAUGCAAGUCGAACGAAAAGAUGAUGAGCUUGUUCCUUUGACGUUAGCGGCGGACGGGUGAGUAACACGUGGAUCACCUACUUCUAUGACGGGGAUAAUUACGGGAAACCGGAUCUAAUAACGGAGAAUAUAUUGAACCGCUGGGAUCAAUAGAUAAUGACGGCUUUGCUGUCUGUAUUAGCUGAAUCCGCGCCGCAUUAGCUAGUUGGUAAGGUAACGGCCUACCAAGGCGACGAUGCGUAGCCGACCUGAGAGGGUGAUCGGCCACACUGGAACUGAGACACGGUCCAGACUCCUACGGGAGGCAGCAGUAGGGAAUCUUGGGCAAUGGGCGAAAGCCUGACCCAGCAACGCCGCGUGAGUGAAGAAGGUCUUCGGAUCGUAAAGCCCUGUUGUUGGGGAAGAACAGAUGUGGAAGUAACUAUCGAUGUUUUGACGGUACCUAAUCAGAAAGCAACGGCUAACUACGUG